AUUGAACGCUGGCGGCAUGCCUUACACAUGCAAGUCGAACGGCAGCGCGGGAGCAAUCCUGGCGGCGAGUGGCGAACGGGUGAGUAACAUAUCGGAACAUACCCUAGAGUGGGGGAUAACGUAGCGAAAGUUACGCUAAUACCGCAUACGAUCUACGGAUGAAAGUGGGGGACCCGCAAGGGCCUCAUGCUCAUGGAGUGGCCGAUAUCUGAUUAGCUAGUUGGUGGGGUAAAGGCCCACCAAGGCGACGAUCAGUAGCUGGUUUGAGAGAACGACCAGCCACACUGGAACUGAGACACGGUCCAGACUCCUACGGGAGGCAGCAGUGGGGAAUUUUGGACAAUGGGGGCAACCCUGAUCCAGCAAUGCCGCGUGAGUGAAGAAG
rnacentral:rRNA from 1 species